ACUCCUACGGGAGGCAGCAGUGGGGAAUAUUGCACAAUGGGCGCAAGCCUGAUGCAGCCAUGCCGCGUGUAUGAAGAAGGCCUUCGGGUUGUAAAGUACUUUCAGCAGUGAGGAAGGUGGGUAUGUUAAUAGCAUACUCAUUUGACGUUAGCUGCAGAAGAAGCACCGGCUAACUCCGUGCCAGCAGCCGCGGUAAUACGGAGGGUGCGAGCGUUAAUCGGAAUUACUGGGCGUAAAGCGCAUGCAGGUGGUUGUUAAGUCAGAUGUGAAAGCCCGGGGCUCAACCUCGGAAUUGCAUUUGAAACUGGCAAACUAGAGUACUGUAGAGGGGGUAGAAUUUCAGGUGUAGCGGUGAAAUGCGUAGAGAUCUGAAGGAAUACCGGUGGCGAAGGCGGCCCCUGGACAGAUACUGACACUCAGAUGCGAAAGCGUGGGAGCGAAACAGGAUUAGAUA
rnacentral:rRNA from 1 species